GAUGAACGCUGGCGGCGUGCCUAACACAUGCAAGUCGAGCGGACAGACGAGGAGAUUGUGCUCUUGACGUUAGCGGGGGGCGGGCGGGUAACACGUACAUCGCCUUCUUCUUUUUCGUGGAUGAUAUCGUGAAACAGCAGCUGCUACUAGCUCAUACAUCCUACGGGUUAAUUCAAUAGUGCUACGCGCCUUUGCUGUUUCAUUUAGCCGGUGUCGGAUUAGCUAGUUGGCUUGGUAAGGGCCCACCAAGGCGACGAUCCGUAGCUGAUCUGAGAGGAUGAUCAGCCACACUGGAACUGAGACACGGUCCAGACUCCUACGGGAGGCAGCAGUAGGGAAUCUUCGACAAUGGGCGAAAGCCUGACCCAGCAAUACCGCGUGAGUGAAGAAGGCCUUCGGGUUGUAAAGCUCUUUUAUUGGGAAAGAAAAGAAGUAGGAGAAUACAUGGCCGUCCUGACGGUACCAAAAGAAUAAGCAACGGCUAACUUCGUG
rnacentral:rRNA from 1 species